rnacentral:rRNA from 1 species
GUGGGGAAUUUUGGACAAUGGGCGCAAGCCUGAUCCAGCAAUGCCACGUGCAGGAAGAAGGCCUUCGGGUUGUAAACUGCUUUUGUACGGAACGAAACGGUCCUGGUUAAUACCCGGGGCUAAUGACGGUACCGUAAGAAUAAGCACCGGCUAACUACGUGCCAGCAGCCGCGGUAAUACGUAGGGUGCAAGCGUUAAUCGGAAUUACUGGGCGUAAAGCGUGCGCAGGCGGUGCUGUAAGACAGGCGUGAAAUCCCCGGGCUCAACCUGGGAAUUGCGCUUGUGACUGCAGUGCUGGAGUGCGGCAGAGGGGGAUGGAAUUCCGCGUGUAGCAGUGAAAUGCGUAGAUAUGCGGAGGAACACCGAUGGCGAAGGCAAUCCCCUGGGCCUGCACUGACGCUCAUGCACGAAAGCGUGGGGAGCAAACAGGAUUAGAAACCCGUGUAGUCC